AUUCAGUUAAUGGAAUGAGGCACUUCCCAUUACUCCCACUAGUAACCUGUUCCUGGUUUUAUUAUCUCACUCCUGAUCCUUUCCCCUUUCUCUCCAAACUCCAAACCCUACAGCUACAACCUCCAUCACCAAUGGCCUCUCAGUCUCACCCUUAUCUCAAUGGUGACUCCAAUACCCACAUCCCAAAAAAGCCAAAGCUUUCAUCUUUAUCCUCUUCUUUCAUCACAGAAGCUGAAAUCCAAUCAGAAUUCAGCCACCACGACUCCACCAUAGCUCGCAUCAACAAUGGCUCUUUUGGCUGUUGCCCUUCCUCCAUUUCCAACUCCCAGCAACACCUCCAACUCCAGUUCCUUAGCCAGCCCGAUCACUUCUACUUCUCCCACCUCAAACCCGGCAUUCUCCGCUCCCGCACCCUCCUCCAAAGCCUCAUCAAUGCCCAACACCUCGACGAAAUCUCCAUCGUCGAUAAUGCCACCACUGCAGCUGCUAUCGUCCUCCAAAACAUCGCCUGGAGCUUCGCCGAAGGAAAAUUCAAUCAAGGAGAUGUUGCCAUUAUGCUUCACUAUGCUUAUGGUGCUGUAAAGAAGUCCAUUGAGGCCUAUCUCACACGUGCUGGCGGGCAUGUUAUUGAGGUACAUUUGCCUUUUCCUGUAAAUUCUAAUGAAGAGAUUGUGUUUGAAUUUAGGAAGGCUUUAGAGAAAGGAAAAGAGAAUGGUAGGAAAGUGAGGUUAGCUGUGAUUGAUCAUAUAACUUCAAUGCCGACUGUAGUUAUACCUGUUAAGGAAUUGGUUAGGAUUUGUAGGGAGGAAGGUGUGGAUCAAGUUUUUGUGGAUGCAACUCAUGGGAUUGGGUGUACCGAUGUUGAUAUGCAAGACAUUGGUGCUGAUUUUUACACUAGUAAUUUGCAUAAGUGGUUCUUUUGCCCGCCUUCCAUUGCAUUUUUGUAUUGUAGGAAGUCGUCCCAGUGCUUAGACCUGCACCAUCCGGUCGUGACUCACGAGUAUGGAAAUGGGUUGGCCGUGGAAAGUGCUUGGAUUGGGGCUAGGGACUAUAGUGCUCAGUUGGUGGUUCCCAAGGUGUUUGAGUUUGUUGAUAGGUUCGAGGGUGGUAUUGAGGGGAUCAAGAAGAGGAAUCAUGAGAAUGUUGUGAAGAUGGGACAGAUGUUGGCAAAAGUGUGGGGUACGAAUCUUGGAUGCCCUCCAGAGAUGUGUGCCAGCAUGAUCAUGGUUGGGUUGCCAGCUUGUUUAGGGAUUUCAAGUGAUUUGGAUACUUUGAAGUUGAGAACACAUUUGAGGGAUAAGUUUGGUGUGGAAGUGCCUAUUUAUUACAGGGCACCGAAAGAUGGGGAGGUUGAUUUGGUAACUGGCUAUGCAAGGAUUUCUUAUCAAGUCUACAACAAAGUCGAUGAUUAUCACAAGUUCCGGGAUGCAAUUAAUGAGCUUGUAGGCGAUGGGUUCACUUGCACUCUUCUUCGUGGUUGAAGAGAGUUAGUUCUAUUAGUACCUGUUAUUAUUCAUGGGUAUGAAACCAAUGAAUAAUUGAAUCAUAGAACUCUUGUUAGCCACUUCAAACAUGAGGCAUAGUAGUGAUAAUUAAUGCCUUUAUGAGAUAAGUGGUUUUCCCUAGAAAUGUCGUGUGUUGGCAUGGAGCUACUGAGAUGAAAGGAGGAAGCCUUCUUUUGGUUCUUCAAUCCCUCUUGUAAAUGUAAAUAGAUGUGUGGCUUGUGUGCUUGGCUACUUUUCAUGGUUUUGCUACCAUGAAAUCCCAAAAUAAGAGGAGAAACAAAGUGCAGAAAUGGCAAGUAGCAGGGCAGAACAGUUAGCUUUCGUGAUUUGAGAAAUGUUUUUCAAUCUGUUGGGCUCCAUGAAAGCUAUUCUCCCGGCCAUUUGGCAUUUAUAAGCAUUUAAAUUUUUAGCUGCCAAUUGAACUUUAAGUUUACAUUAGUUGCUUGUGCUAUCCUCUCUAUGCAAUGAUGUAAAUUUCUUUGUUGAUUUUACUUUUCAACAAAGGCUAAUGGAAGAGGGCAUGCUCUCAUCCAAAUCCUUCAAAUGGUUUGCUACAUUUAAGUAGAUAGUAUAUAUAACUGAUGAUAUCAGAGAUUUGACUUUAUGCCAAUAAGCUUGGACUGCAGAAACAUUGGAAUGUAUGCUAAUGCUCAACAGGGCACAGUAUUGUUUGAUGGUUGAUCCUUUC